rnacentral:rRNA from 1 species
UACGUAGGGUGCGAGCGUUAAUCGGAAUUACUGGGCGUAAAGCGUGCGCAGGCGGUCGUGUAAGACAGGUGUGAAAUCCCCGGGCUCAACCUGGGAACUGCAUUUGUGACUGCAAGGCUGGAGUGCGGCAGAGGGGGAUGGAAUUCCGCGUGUAGCAGUGAAAUGCGUAGAUAUGCGGAGGAACACCGAUGGCGAAGGCAAUCCCCUGGGCCUGCACUGACGCUCAGGCACGAAAGCGUGGGGAGCAAACAGG